GACUUCUGCUGUGUCCCGAACCCUUAUUGCAGUGCCCGGUCCCCAUCUCCUUUCCCCGCGGGCCGUGGCAGAAACAAUCCAUCCAACAUCAACAACACCUUCACAGAGUUUUGUACUAGAACAAUCAAGCCUCUGAAAGAGUCAUCAUAAAUCUAUGUCUUGACUAAAUCAUAAAUCAGUGCUUGAGUGCUCAGAGUACCUUCCAUCUGAUUCUGCAUGAAGAUGGAAAAAGAAAUUCUCAAGAAUUAUACCUUAAAGAGAUCCUGGCAUGAAACAGUUGUAAUUAGUUAUUAUCAUCAGUUCCAGCAAAGUGGCUGGAUGAAAACUGCU